rnacentral:rRNA from 1 species
GAUGAACGCUAGCGACAGGCUUAACACAUGCAAGUCGAGGGGUAGCAUAAAAGUAGCAAUACUUUGGUGGCGACCGGCGCACGGGUGAGUAACGCGUAUGCAACCUACCUAUCAGAGGGGAAUAACCCGGCGAAAGUCGGCCUAAUACCGCAUAAAACAGGGGCACCGCAUGGUGCUAUUUGUUAAAGAUUUAUUGCUGAUAGAUGGGCAUGCGUUCCAUUAGGUAGUUGGUGAGGUAACGGCUCACCAAGCCGACGAUGGAUAGGGGAACUGAGCGGUUGGUCCCCCACACUGGUACUGAGACACGGACCAGACUCCUACGGGAGGCAGCAGUGAGGAAUAUUGGUCAAUGGGCGAGAGCCUGAACCAGCCAAGUCGCGUGAAGGAAGAAGGAUCUAUGGUUCGUAAACUUCUUUUGCAGGGGAAUAAAGUGGAGGACGUGUCCUUUUUUGUAUAUACCCUGAGAAUAAGGAUCGGCUAACUCCGUGCCAGCCGCCGCGGUAAAAC